AACGUACAUCCAUAUCCAACCCAGCAGCUCUAUCAGUAAGUGCGGUGUUGUUAUCCUUCAAGCUCAGCACUUCUUCUUCGGCAUUCGCAAGCUCGCUCUUCAGAUCAGCAUUGUCGCGUUGGUUCUGAACGGCUUGCUUCUUCAACUCCACAAUCGUAGCCUCAAGCGAGGCUACGUGCCCUCUUUCACUAGCUAGCUGGCUC
rnacentral:lncRNA from 1 species